rnacentral:lncRNA from 1 species
AUCCAGUCUCCCAUUGGAAGCCUCUGCCAGUCACGGCUGGGCGGGCGGGACUUCUGGCACUGUUCCCUGCUCCUGGAAACAGGGAGUGGAGAAGCUUCUCGAUUGGAAGCCGCUGUCGUCAAUUGUGGCCGAGCGGGCGGGACUUCCUGCCAAGCCCCCCAGAGUCUCUCUGCUGCCGCCGCAAGCGCCGCUGGCCCGGGGACCACAGAUUGGAAGCAGGCAGUCACUGGUCGUGGACAGGAAGACUCUCUCCGGCCAUCUCAGCUGUGGUCCUCUAACCUGUGCCUGUGAGCCACCAAGAGUGAACGGAAACUAGAAGCAUUGCCACCAACAACUGGAGCAGUGACCACACUGAAGUUUCUCUGUCGAGGGGGAAGGGGAGUAAGGAGAAAAAAAAAAAAAAAAGGCAAGUAAGCAAGCAAGCCAGCAAGCACAGGAGCACACUCUCGUGGAGGCCCACACCCUCCCUGUGCCUACCCAAGAUGUGUCAGUCAGAGAAGCAUCCAGGACCGGAGCUCCAAGCAGCAGCAAAAUGGUUGUACUUUCCCCAGCUGGCCCUAUGGCGGAGGCUAGGCCAGCUGAGCUGCAUGUCCAGACCUGCUCUGAAUCUGCGCUCCUGGCUGCUGACCAUCCUCCACUACCUCCUGCCCUUCCGUGUGCUCGGGCCCCACAGCCAGGUGGGAUGGAGGCCCCUGAGCAGGUUUGACAGAGCCAGAAUUAUUUAGAAAGAGGAACUCUCAACUGAGAAAUUGCCUCCAUCUGACUGGCCUGCAGGUAAGUCUGUGGGACAUUUUCUUAAUAAAGACUCAGGUGGGAGGGCCCAGUCCACUACAAGUGGUCCCACCACUGGGCAGGUGGUCCUGGGCUGUUUAAAGAGCAGGCUGAACAAGCCUUGGAGAACAAACCAGGGAUGAUCGUUCCUCUGCUUCAGUUCCUGCCUUGAGUUCCUAUCCUGAUGCCCCUUAAUGAUAGAGUAGAAACUGUCAGCAUCUCUCUAAAAUGUUGUUGGUCAUGGUGUUUAUCACAGAAAUAGAAACCUACCUAGCUCACCAAACACAAGAAAUUAAGCUGAAGUAGAGCAUGAGUCAUGACCUGAAUAGACAAUGUAAGGAUGGAUGUCUAAGGCAUCCAGCUCCUCACACUAGGGACACUCUGGGGAGAUGGACAUUCCAGUACAAAGAAGGAUACAGUGCUUCCAGUGUGUAAAGGCCCUCCGCAGGACCAUCCUCCCGGCCAGCUUCACCACCAGGGCCUGGUGGGCAGACAAGCUCUGCCUCCACUCCCAGGCCCACUGCCAGUCACAGAAAU